CCGAUUGGCUCCUCUGAAUCUUUACCUUCCUUUCCUUGGUAUUAUCACUACGGGAAUUGUGUGCAUCAGAACUCACUGCUACUUCUCUACUGACACAAGUGCUGCCACUCUGUUUCCUCUGUUUUUUACACGCAGUAUUUUCUUCUUUAUAAACACUUGGAUUCUUUUCAGAAUUAAUUUUGACGUAUUCGUCGUACAAAUCUAGCUUACUGUUGACUGUCGUGUCACCAUUUUUCGCAGAUGGAUGCCCAGAUUUGAGAAACAGGACGAGGACUAUGGCGUUGCCAAGGAUGAAUACAAACCCGGGACUCACCGCCGUGACCGAGAAUCCCCUGAAAU
rnacentral:lncRNA from 1 species